rnacentral:rRNA from 1 species
GAUGAACGCUAGCUACAGGCUUAACACAUGCAAGUCGAGGGGAAACGACAUCGAAAGCUUGCUUUUGAUGGGCGUCGACCGGCGCACGGGUGAGUAACGCGUAUCCAACCUGCCCAUCACUUGGGAAUAACCUUGCGAAAGUAAGACUAAUACCCAAUGAUAUCCCACGAAGGCAUCGGAAUGGGAUUAAAGAUUUAUCGGUGAUGGAUGGGGAUGCGUCUGAUUAGCUUGUUGGCGGGGUAACGGCCCACCAAGGCAACGAUCAGUAGGGGUUCUGAGAGGAAGGUCCCCCACAUUGGAACUGAGACACGGUCCAAACUCCUACGGGAGGCAGCAGUGAGGAAUAUUGGUGAAUGGGCGAGAGCCUGAACCAGCCAAGUAGCGUGCAGGAAGACGGCCCUAUGGGUUGUAAACUGCUUUUAUAAGGGAAUAAAGUGGGUCACGUGUGACUUUUUGCAUGUACCUUAUGAAUAAGGACCGGCUAAUUCCGUG